rnacentral:rRNA from 1 species
CAGUCGCCGCGGUAAUACGUAGGUGGUAAGCGUUGUCCGGAAUUAUUGGGCGUAAAGGGCUCGCAGGCGGUUUCUUAAGUCUGAUGUGAAAGCCCCCGGCUCAACCGGGGAGGGUCAUUGGAAACUGGGAAACUUGAGUGCAGAAGAGGAGAGUGGAAUUCCACGUGUAGCGGUGAAAUGCGUAGAGAUGUGGAGGAACACCAGUGGCGAAGGCGACUCUCUGGUCUGUAACUGACGCUGAGGAGCGAAAGCGAGGGGAGCGAACAGGAUUAGAUACCCCGGUAGUCCCUGUCUCUUAUAC